rnacentral:snRNA from 14 species
GGUCCUAUAUGUAAGGGGAGAUCCCUUGAUCACAAAGGUGGUUUUCCCAGGGUCAGGCCUGUCCACUGUAUUCCAGGCACACUGACCACUGCAAGUUUCCCCAAAUGUUGGAAACUCACCUGCACUAUUUUGUGUCAAUGGGGGACUGAAUUCACACUUUUCUCCU